rnacentral:rRNA from 1 species
GACGAACGCUGGCGGCGUGCUUAACACAUGCAAGUCGAACGGACAGGCCCUGCUUUUGUGGGGUGCUCGAGUGGCGAACGGGUGAGUAACACGUGAGUAACCUGUCCUUGACUUUGGGAUAACAUCAGGAAACUGGGGCUAAUAUCGCAUAGGAGCUCCUGCUGCAUGGUGGGGGUUGGAAAGUUUCGGCGGUUGGGGAUGGACUCGCGGCUUAUCAGCUUGUUGGUGGGGUAGUGGCUUACCAAGGCUUUGACGGGUAGCCGGCCUGAGAGGGUGACCGGCCACAUUGGGACUGAGGGACGGCCCAGACUCCUACGGGAGGCAGCAGUGGGGAAUAUUGCACAAUGGGCGGAAGCCUGAUGCAGCGACGCCGCGUGCGGGAUGACGGCCUUCGGGUUGUAAACCGCUUUCGCCGGUGACGAAGCGUGAGUGACGGUAAUGGGUAAAGAAGCACCGGCUAACUACGUG